rnacentral:lncRNA from 1 species
GUCUGCUCACUGAUGACAUGAAGCACGUGAUGCAGCUACAGAAGUUAAUAAUGAAGUCCCAGGAGGAGUCUAAGGAACUGGAGAAAAAGCUGCUUGAUGUCAGAAAGAAGAGACUACGGCCUUAUUUUGGGGAGUAAAACCAACUGGGCAGAGGAUCCUACACUCAGAGAGCUUGUGCUGCAGCUGGAGAAGAAUCUCACUACACUGUAAUAAGACUCUCACCUUGGCAUUUUAAAAUGGGUUUUGUGGCCAAUCUGUCAUUCCAGGAUCAGAGUUCAUGGGAAAUGUAAAUAGUGUUUUUAGAACCUUUCUCUGCUUCAGUGUUUGGAUUUCGAGUUGAUGCUAUGGCACGGAAUCUUUUGUUUUAAAUGUGCUCAGUAAAGUGACUGGCAUACUCUGCAGGAGUGUGAACGUCGAGGCCUUGGAAAGAGGCCCCUGCUCAUGCCACCACUGAAUGUGCACAUCUUUGCAGACGUUUUCCUGGCUGUCCCUCAGAAUAUGCUUAUGCAUCUGUGCACACUGGCUUGUCAGCCAAAAAUUAGAACAGCGUCCGAAGGGUAACGUUGUGUUUGUGAAGUAAGGUUCUUACUUUUUUCUCCUUCUCUAUUUAGCAUGCAUUUUACUUUUAUAAGUUAAGGAAUAAAAAGAAUAAACAUUACUGUCUUAUUAACU